AAGAUCUCCACAGACAGUUUUCAGAAAAGCUUUUUUGAGUGGGAGGCUGUCCAUUUUGAGGUGGAUAAAAUCUGCAAGGAAGAGCGUUUCAUCUGUCCUGCAUGCACCCCAGAUAUUCUGGCAGUUUCAGUAGAUGGAAACCGCAAGCUUUACCGUUUCAAGAAUGCAGCUAGAUCUGAAGAACAGGCCAUAUUUGAAGACGUCUUUAUAGCUAAGGAUGAAGAUGUGACAAGAUUUGUGGACUACAUUCACAAGGCAUCCAAACAUGUCAGUGGAAGAGGUGUUUGUGGAGGGGAGUGGUCAGCAGCCAGAGAGACCUCCCAAAGAUCUGCUAGCAAGGUAGACGAGGAGGGACUGGAGCUUGUGGUGUGUCGGCAUGGAGUGCUACUCUGUGCGUUAAAUACUGUAUGUACAGGGGGGAAAUUUUUGCUUAUCCCUGUACCUGCAAAAAUGGCUGGAUAGUAGGCAAAUCACCU